CUUUACUGUAGCUUGGAAUUGGGUUCGGGCUUUGCUUGCGCAGGAUAGGUGGGGGACUAUGAAGUUGCUCUUGUGGGAGUAAUGGAGUCAACGGUGAGAUACCACUCUGGUGAGGCUGGAAUUCUAACUUGUUCCCGUUAUCCGGGAGAAGGACAAUUUCAGGUGGGCAGUUUGACUGGGGCGGUCGCCUCCUAAACGAUAACGGAGGCGCGCAAAGGUUCUCUCAGGCUGGUUGGAAAUCAGCCGUAGAGUGUAAAAGCAUAAGAGAGCUUGACUGUGAGAGUGACAACUCGAGCAGGGUGGAAACACGGCCUUAGUGAUCCGACGGCUUGUGCGUGGAAAUGCCGUCGCUCAACGGAUAAAAGUUA
rnacentral:rRNA from 1 species